UGAUCUGAAUGUGCCUACUUGUGUUCUGUUUCAUGGCAGUGGAAUUUCUGUGGAGCCACACGACGGAGAGCAUGUGUGUUGGAUAUAUGUCAGCUCAGGAUGGGAAAGCCAAGACUCACAUUUCAAGACUCCCUCCUGGUGCGGUGGCAGGACAGUCCGUUGCGAUCGAAGGUGGGGUUUGCCGCCUGGAGAGCCCAGUGAACUGACCCUUUGGAUUGAGCAUGAAGCGUCUGAGAAGCAUUUCAGAACCUGGGCUUUUUGGUUUUUAACUGAAGUUGGGUGUUUUAUCUUCUUAUUUUAUAAUUCCUAUUGCAACCUUGUGCACCGCUCAAGACAAAAGUGCUGCCGUAGUUAGUGCUUCGUGACACGCAGGCCUUUAGCGGGUGAGCGGGUUGUUUGUGUGUGUGUGUGUGUGUGUGUGUGUGUGUGUGCGUGCGUGCAGUAUGUGUGCUUGCUUCUCCCUUGAUGACCUAGAAACUCCUCAUUGUGUAACCUAAGACCAGGAAUGAGUAAAUCAUCUUUACAAAAUGUGUGCUUUAACUGUUUACAAGUAAAACCUAAAGUUUCAGGAAACAUUUUAAAUUUCAUAAAGAGGUACCAACUGUCGUUGAUGUAUUGUGUCAGAACUGAAGAGUAAAUCUACUUGUUUAAAUGAUUUGACAGUGGUAGAGCUUCGUUUAAUAACAGUAGUAAGUGAUAGAGUGUUUUUAUUUGUAAACCAGUUUAAGUGGAUCCUGUGAUAACUUAAACUGUUCUCAUCCCUCAUACGGGGCAUUUUUCUUUAACAAAGAAUGGUUUCAGUGAAACAAUCUAGCAAAGAAUUAAGGUCAGAACCUUUUUAAAUAAUAGUCUUAUUGAUAAAGUUUGUACUUCUUUCCUCAAGCUUUUCUAAGCUUAAAUAUUGCAUAGCUUCGCGCUGUAUGUACUAUAUAAUGAAAGAAUAUGUAAAGAGAACAUACGGUAAUGCACAGUCUUUAAUUGUGUAUAAUGGAAUGUUAUUUACAAUGUAACACUGUAAAUAAGAAAGCAAAGUUUAUGGGAAAAUUCAAUAUUAUCUUUGUUUCUUGUUUAAAUAUAUUUUUAAGAUAAAGGCACAAAAAUAAAAGAAGCAUAUUACUGGGUAUAGUGUGUGACUCCUCUUCUCAGACUAAUAAAUUAUCUUUUGAAUCCUA